GGAGGGGGAAAACCGGUGUGAUUCUGUUUCAAUUAAAAUAUAUUUUUUAAAAACUUAAAAAACAAAACGCAUAAGGAGCUGUUUCCUUAGUACAAACCCACAGAGCAGUGCACUGGGUGGGAAGACUCUUGGUGCUUUAUCAACUUCAGGUGCCCGUACCCAGAUGCCCCCAGCCUCAGAAAGGCUCUGUGCUGCCAUCUUCGGGAAUGGAAUCUCUCUCUGAACCAUCUCAGGUCCUCCUUGGCUGGUAUCCAAUGGAGGAAAACUCAAUAAUACUAGUGAUAACAUUCACCCCAAAUCAGCCUUAAGAGGUCUGGCUUCCCCCAAAUGCCCCCCUAAUCUCUACCUGAAUAAUGGCUCUGGUCCCAGAACUGCUGUUAUCAAUCUCCCUCCCAGCUGUGGUUCACCAUUUUUGCCCCAGAACGAUGAAACUUGUAGUAACAAGAGCUCAACAAAGAAUCACGUUAAAACAUCUGUUUUCUUUACAAGAUCCACAUAAGUAAAUUCCUCACAGUUAUGGUCUUCAUGUGUGUCAUAUUAAUGACCCCCUAAAAUGAAGAAUGGAGAGAGAGACUGAUCUUGUUCAACCCCUUUUAAAUAUAGAAAAUUGGAGCUAGGGACUCUGUAACAGUGGGAGAAAAUCCACCAAGCUAAAUGUCACCCCUUAUCUAAAUAUACAUCUGCACAUCUGUAAGAAAAUUUUCCUUCGCACAGACAUCCCCUGA
rnacentral:lncRNA from 1 species